UACGAAGGUGGCAAGCGUUGUUCGGAUUCAUUGGGCGUAAAGGGUGCGUAGGUGGCGCGCUAAGUCAGGUGUGAAAUUUCGGAGCUUAACUCCGAAACUGCAUUUGAUACUGGUGUGCUUGAGGACUGGAGAGGAGACUGGAAUUUACGGUGUAGCAGUGAAAUGCGUAGAGAUCGUAAGGAAGACCAGUGGCGAAGGCGGGUCUCUGGACAGUUCCUGACACUGAGGCACGAAGGCCAGGGGAGCAAACGGG
rnacentral:rRNA from 1 species